AUAGGCUUAGAAGCAGCCAUUCUUUAAAGAAAGCGUAACAGCUCACUGGUCGAGUGGGUUUGCACCGAAAAUGUAACGGGGCUAAAGCACAUUACCGAAGCUGCGGGUAUCAAAAAAUAUUUAUUUUUUGAUACGGUAGAGGAGCAUUCUGUUAAGGCUGAAGGUUAUUCGUAAGGAUAGCUGGACAUAACAGAAGAGACCAUGCUGACAUGAGUAACGAUAAAGCGGGUAAGAGACCCGCUCGCCG
rnacentral:rRNA from 1 species